UAGAGUUUGAUCAUGGCUCAGAUUGAACGCUGGCGGCAUGCUUUACACAUGCAAGUCGAACGGCAGCGCGGGGCAACCUGGCGGCGAGUGGCGAACGGGUGAGUAAUAUAUCGGAACGUACCCAGAAGUGGGGGAUAACGUAGCGAAAGUUACGCUAAUACCGCAUACGAUCUACGGAUGAAAGUGGGGGACCUUCGGGCCUCAUGCUUGUGGAGCGGCCGAUAUCUGAUUAGCUAGUUGGUAGGGUAAAGGCCUACCAAGGCGACGAUCAGUAGCUGGUCUGAGAGGACGACCAGCCACACUGGAACUGAGACACGGUCCAGACUCCUACGGGAGGCAGCAGUGGGGAAUUUUGGACAAUGGGCGCAAGCCUGAUCCAGCAAUGCCGCGUGAGUGAAGAAGGCCUUCGGGUUGUAAAGCUCUUUUGUCAGGGAAGAAACGGUGCGGACUAAUAUUUUGCGCUAAUGACGGUACCUGAAGAAUAAGCACCGGCUAACUACGUGCCAGCAGCCGCGGUAAUACGUAGGGUGCAAGCGUUAAUCGGAAUUACUGGGCGUAAAGCGUGCGCAGGCGGUUUUGUAAGUCUGUCGUGAAAGCCCCGGGCUCAACCUGGGAAUUGCGAUGGAGACUGCAAGGCUUGAAUCUGGCAGAGGGGGGUAGAAUUCCACGUGUAGCAGUGAAAUGCGUAGAGAUGUGGAGGAACACCGAUGGCGAAGGCAGCCCCCUGGGUCAAGAUUGACGCUCAUGCACGAAAGCGUGGGGAGCAAACAGGAUUAGAUACCCUGGUAGUCCACGCCCUAAACGAUGUCUACUAGUUGUCGGGUUUUAAUUAACUUGGUAACGCAGCUAACGCGUGAAGUAGACCGCCUGGGGAGUACGGUCGCAAG
rnacentral:rRNA from 1 species